CAGGCGGGGCUAGCCCCCUCGUUCUAGGAAACACAUUUAGGUGAUUAGCAAAUCAGGCAGAUUAGAAACCACAAGUGAGAAGCAGAGAAAGGAACAGGAAGCCAGAAAGCCAGAAACUGGAGUGCAAGGGGCACCGCCGGGGACAGCAGUCCUUCGGAUCUGUAACCCUUGUGGGUGGCCUCGCGUAGUCCAAGGGCGCAUGCGCGGUGAGAGCUGUCUCGUUUAGAAGCGGGAUGAGGUUGAAUAACGUUUAAUAGUAUAGCUUCGGAAAUAAGGAGGACGAACGAUUAUGAGGAUAGACUUUUCUGGAAAGACGCACAGAAAACAAACUUCCUUCCCAGAGAAGUUGAGUGAGUGCUGUGUUUAUGUGCUACAUUAAAAUAUAGCUUCACCCAGAGAAGAGAGGCCUGCUUGUUCCAGAAAGCAGCUCAUUUCAGAGUCCCUAUGAUAAAGCCCGACAGGAAGCAAAUCUGGUGAAUGAGGACGUGGUGUUGUGCUUCUGCAAGGCAUCCUGCUUUGGUUCAGUGGCUUGGCGUGGCAAGGCACCCUAAGCUGCUGCUUCCUCCAAAGCUGCCCGUAGGAAGAAAAUAAGCGGUUUGACGGAGUAGAAGGGAGUUGAGCGCUGCUAAUUAAAAUGUAAAUACUUCCCAGAGCCAACAGCUUGUAGAAAAGAAAAAAAAAUGAUUGGAAAGAUGGCCCGCAGUAAAACUCCACCAGGCAAAAUAGAUUCUAAGUCUGCAUAAGACCUGAGCCGAUCUGUUGAUGUAAUCAACUCACUGAGAAGUUACUCAUAUCAAGUCAUCCGAAGCCACGCGCAGGAAAACAGGUGGCUGCUGAGGGCCCUGAUUAACACUGAGGACUGUGGACUGCCUGUUUACCAGGUGACGGGGCCUCGGUGGCUCAAAAUGCACGAACAAGAUGUGGGAGGGGCUUUCUGUAACGAGCUGGUCCCUCUGUGAUCUCACAGGCCGCUCCUGAACCUAACAGGCUGGGCAGGCGUCUCUGCUGGCCCUGCAUCUCAGCUGCCUUGCCCCGGUCCUUUGAAGGCUCAAGUCCCCCGUGCCCAUCAGUGCGAUAAAGUGCAACUUAAGCUUGAUGGAGACAACCAAUCCGAACUUUUUGGCAGCCUCUCGCCAUUGACCAUGGCAGUUCUGUUCAGUGACAUUAUGACAUCUGGACCAGAUGAUGUCUCCAGCCUGUUGUGCGUGGUGGGUGUCACCUCCUUGUGUUCAUACAGACUUUCUGUGUAAGCCCCACUUUCCUGCUGGAUUUCCCGGUUGGCUUCACAAGGUGUGGAAUCUACACGGGACCUACCUGCAUGACCUUCAGGAGGCCCAGGCCCACACACUCACACUCAUGCUUCACGGUUCUGUUUUCUACUGUUGGAGACACCCCCCUGUGUAACAUGUAUGUUCAUACACAACGCACAUGUUAUUAUAUGUAAUUACAUGCUUA